rnacentral:lncRNA from 1 species
CAAGGUCCAAGAGGAUUAGAGGUAGCAUUACUAAACCCAACUUGUGUGAGUAACUCCACAACCUAAACUGAAGCGCGAUGUGGGUAAAGGAUGGUUGUUAGUGUAAAGGAAGAGUGUGUAAGUAUGAAUGGAAGUUGGGCAUGGAGGCAGGUUAGGGUUGGGGAAAGAAAGGCCCUAGAUAGGCGUGCAAGAGUGAAAGUAAGGGAUGAUUGAGUUGAGCGACGUUUGGGUGGGAUUAAGUGUUAUGAUUUGUGUUUUGGAUGAUGGGGUAGAAACAAAGUUAGGGUUUUGGAAGGGAAAGUUGGGAAAAUUUGAAAUUUAGGGUUUGUUAGGACAAAUUAGGUUAGAGUUACAGUUUCUAAAAUGGCAUUUUAGAGAUUAAGGUUUUAGAAAGGGGUUUAGGCCAUUCCUAGUGUGCAUCCAAGCCUAAGACACAACCACAACUGAUGUUGGCGCUCAACACAUGCACUCCA